rnacentral:rRNA from 1 species
CCUACGGGUGGCAGCAGUGAGGAAUAUUGGUCAAUGGCCGCAGGGCUGAACCAGCCAAGUCGCGUGAGGGAUGACGGUCCUACGGAUUGUAAACCUCUUUUGUCAGGGAGCAAAGGGCGCCACGUGUGGCGUUUUGCGAGGACCUGAAGAAAAAGCAUCGGCUAACUCCGUGCCAGCAGCCGCGGUAAUACGGAGGAGUCAAGCGUUAUCCGGAUUUAGUGGGUUUAAAGGGUGCGUAGGCGGUCGGAUAAGUUAGAGGGGAAAGCCCGAGGCUCAACUUCGGAAUUGCCUCUGAUACGGUUCGGCUCGACCGUAGUUGCGGUAGGCGGACUGUCUGGUGUAGCGGUGACAUGCUUAGAGAUCCUAC